CAAACAUGCAGAAAUGAAAACAUUUUACUUUUUUCUUUGCCAGUAUGUACAUUUCUCAGUAAAUAUUAUUAAAGAUGCUGACACUAACAACAGAGCUUCUUCUCUUCGUAGCCAAAUCGCUUUUUCUGUUUUCCUUCUGCAGUUAAAGAAGUCAUAAACAAUCUCUGUCUGAUCACAGUUCUACAAGUGUAGCAAUUAUUUUCUAAUCAAUUUCAGAGCAGUAUUUCCUGAUUUUUCCUGACUUGAACUCUUCAGAAGGGAUCCUGCAGUGCUCUGUGUUACAUAACUUCUGAUGAAGUCACUUUGUCCAGUCUAUAUGAUGAACUGCAGCAGUAAUCCAUUUACAGGUUUUGUAUUGCCAAGGUGGGAAAAUCAAAUUCUAGAAAAUAGCAAACCACCACCAUCAUCCCCUUCCCCUUCUUUGACUGCCACAACUGGUAAGUGUUUACAAGUUAUCACUCUUUAGAACCUGGAAUGAGGCACAGCUACCUUCUACAGGCAGGCAGCAAAACAUUUUAAGUAUCAGAGAGUCAUGCCAAUACAAUCUAUUGUCUGUAAGACUAAAGGUUAUUAUUUGCUUGGGGCCAGUUAUUU
rnacentral:lncRNA from 1 species